rnacentral:rRNA from 1 species
CUUAAAGGAAGUUGACGGGGCCCGCACAAGCGGUGGAGUAUGUGGUUAAUUCGAUGCAACGCGAGGAACCUUACCUGGUCUUGACAUCCCGGAGACCCUUAGGAAACUAGGGGGUGCUUCCAUCUGGAAGAAUCUGGAGACAGGUGCUGCAUGGCUGUCGUCAGCUCGUGUCGUGAGAUGUUGGGUUAAGUCCCGCAACGAGCGCAACCCUUGCCUUUAGUUGCCAGCAGUUCGGCUGGGCACUCUAAAGGGACUGCCGGUGUUAAACCGGAGGAAGGUGGGGAUGACGUCAAGUCCUCAUGGCCUUUAUGACCAGGGCUACACACGUACUACAAUGGCCGAUACAAAGGGCAGCGACACUGCGAGGUGAAGCCAAUCCCGUAAAAUCGGUCUCAGUCCGGAUUGGAGUCUGCAACUCGACUCCAUGAAGUUGGAAUCGCUAGUAAUCGUGGAUCAGCAUGCCACGGUGAAUACGUUCCCGGGCCUU